CCUACGGGGUGCAGCAGUAGGGAAUCUUCCACAAUGGACGAAAGUCUGAUGGAGCAACGCCGCGUGAGUGAAGAAGGGUUUCGGCUCGUAAAGCUCUGUUGGUAGUGAAGAAAGAUAGAGGUAGUAACUGGCCUUUAUUUGACGGUAAUUACUUAGAAAGUCACGGCUAACUACGUGCCAGCAGCCGCGGUAAUACGUAGGUGGCAAGCGUUGUCCGGAUUUAUUGGGCGUAAAGCGAGUGCAGGCGGUUCAAUAAGUCUGAUGUGAAAGCCUUCGGCUCAACCGGAGAAUUGCAUCAGAAACUGUUGAACGUGAGUGCAGAAGAGGAGAGUGGAACUCCAUGUGUAGCGGUGGAAUGCGUAGAUAUAUGGAAGAACACCAGUGGCGAAGGCGGCUCUCUGGGCUGCAACUGACGCUGAGGCUCGAAAGCAUGGGUAGCGAACAGGAUUAGAUACCCGGGUAGUC
rnacentral:rRNA from 1 species